rnacentral:rRNA from 1 species
CCUACGGGAGGCAGCAGUGGGGAAUAUUGCACAAUGGGGGAAACCCUGAUGCAGCGACGCCGCGUGAGUGAAGAAGUAUUUCGGUAUGUAAAGCUCUAUCAGCAGGGAAGAAAAUGACGGUACCUGAUUAAGAAGCCCCGGCUAACUACGUGCCAGCAGCCGCGGUAAGACGUAGGGGGCAAGCGUUAUCCGGAUUUACUGGGUGUAAAGGGAGCGUAGACGGCAGCACAAGUCUGGAGUGAAAUGCCGGGGCUUAACCCCGGAACUGCUUUGGAAACGGGGCAGCUAGAGUGCAGGAGAGGUAAGUGGAAUGCCUAGUGUAGCGGUGAAAUGCGUAGAUAUUAGGAGGAACACCAGUGGCGAAGGCGGCUUACUGGACUGUAACUGACGUUGAGGCUCGAAAGCGUGGGGAGCAAACAGGAUUAGAUACCCCUGUAGUC